UACGGAGGAUCCAAGCGUUAUCCGGAAUCAUUGGGUUUAAAGGGUCUGUAGGCGGUUUUGUAAGUCAGUGGUGAAAGCCCAUCGCUCAACGGUGGAACGGCCAUUGAUACUGCAAGACUUGAAUUAUUAGGAAGUAACUAGAAUAUGUAGUGUAGCGGUGAAAUGCUUAGAUAUUACAUGGAAUACCAAUUGCGAAGGCAGGUUACUACUAAUAUAUUGACGCUGAUGGACGAAAGCGUGGGGAGCGAACAGG
rnacentral:rRNA from 1 species